rnacentral:snoRNA from 1 species
AAGCAUGCAAAUUGCACCAGGAUGCAAAAGAAAGAAAUCCCUGCGCUUUCUGUCUGUCUUUGUGGCGGCCCAGAUUGAAUUGGGGAAUACAUUU